GAUGAAGAACGCAGCGAAAUGCGAUACGUAGUGUGAAUUGCAGAAUUCAGUGAAUCAUCGAAUCUUUGAACGCACAUUGCGCCCUUUGGUAUUCCAAAGGGCAUGCCUGUUCGAGCGUCAUUUGUACCUUCAAGCUUUGCUUGGUGUUGGGCGUUUUUUGUCUCCCUCUUUCUGGGAGACUCGCCUUAAAACGAUUUGCAGCCGGCCUACUGGUUUCGGAGCGCAGCACAUAUUUUGCGCUUUGUAUCAGGAGAAAAGGACGGUAAUCCAUCAAGACUCUACAUUUUUAACUUUUGACCUCGGAUCAGGUAGGGAUACCCGCUGAACUUAAGCAUAUCAAUAAGCGGAGGA
rnacentral:misc_RNA from 1 species